rnacentral:rRNA from 1 species
AUUGAACGCUGGCGGCAUGCCUAACACAUGCAAGUCGAACGGGGCAGCAAUGCCUAGUGGCGGACGGGUGAGGAAUACGUAGGAAGCUGCCCGAUAGAGGGGGAUACCAGUUGGAAACGACUGUUAAUACCGCAUAAUGUCUACGGACCAAAGUGUGGGACCUUCGGGCCACAUGCUAUCGGAUGCGCCUACGUGGGAUUAGCUAGUUGGUGAGGUAAUGGCUCACCAAGGCGACGAUCUCUAGCUGGUUUGAGAGGAUGAUCAGCCACACUGGAACUGAGACACGGUCCAGACUCCUACGGGAGGCAGCAGUGGGGAAUAUUGGACAAUGGGCGCAAGCCUGAUCCAGCCAUGCCGCGUGUGUGAAGAAGGCCUUCGGGUUGUAAAGCACUUUCAGCGAGGAGGAAGGGUGGUGUGUUAAUAGCACAUCAUUUUGACGUUACUCGCAGAAGAAGCACCGGCUAACUCUGUGCCAGCCGCCGCGGUAA